AAAAAGAAAGAGAAAUAAUUAGGAAAUUAUUUUGGUCACUAAUUUUAUGAUGUUGUUAUAUAUUAUGUUGGUGGAUCUGUAUGUGAUGCUCUAAUAGUCUCAUAUAUCGCAUAGAAAAGAAUCGUGAACUCUAAUAAUUAUAAUAACUGGGUUUAAGUAUUUUGAAGUAGUUGCAUGUCUGGAUCUAACUAGUUAUUAAUAUUAGUGGGCUGAAUCUUUCCAUUUGGUACCUGAGUUAGAUUAAUAUGAUGGAUAUCGUAAU
rnacentral:lncRNA from 1 species